GUUCCCUUAGUUUAGUGGUAGAACUCUGGAUUUUCGUUCCAGAAGCAGGGGUUCGAUUCCCCUAGGGAGCA
rnacentral:tRNA from 1 species